rnacentral:rRNA from 1 species
AGUUUGAUCCUGGCUCAGGAUGAACGCUAGCUACAGGCUUAACACAUGCAAGUCGAGGGGCAGCAUGAAAGGAACUUCGGUUCUUUUUGAUGGCGACCGGCGCACGGGUGCGUAACGCGUAUCGAACCUGCCUCAUACUCGGGGAUAGCCUUGCGAAAGUAAGAUUAAUACCCGGCGGUCUCGGAUGGCCGCAUGACUGUCCGAGUGAAGAUUUAUCGGUAUGAGAUGGCGAUGCGUCCCAUUAGCUUGUUGGUGAGGUAAUGGCUCACCAAGGCAUCGAUGGGUAGGGGUUCUGAGAGGAAGGUCCCCCACAUUGGAACUGAGACACGGUCCAAACUCCUACGGGAGGCAGCAGUGAGGAAUAUUGGUCAAUGGACGAAAGUCUGAACCAGCCAAGUAGCGUGCAGGAAGACGGCCCUCUGGGUUGUAAACUGCUUUUAGUUGGGAAUAAAAAGAGGGACGUGUCCCUUAUUGUAUGUACCAUCAGAAAAAGGACCGGCUAAUUCCGUGCCAGCAGCCGCGGUAAUACGGAAGGUCCAGGCGUUAUCCGGAUUUAUUGGGUUUAAAGGGAGCGCAGGCGGCGGCGUAAGUCAGUUGUGAAAUCGUGCGGCUUAACCGUGCAAUUGCAGUUGAUACUGCGUCGCUUGAGUGCACACAGGGAUGUUGGAAUUCAUGGUGUAGCGGUGAAAUGCUUAGAUAUCAUGAAGAACUCCGAUCGCGAAGGCAUAUGUCCGGAGUGCAACUGACGCUGAGGCUCGAAAGUGUGGGUAUCAAACAGGAUUAGAUACCCUGGUAGUCCACACAGUAAACGAUGAAUACUCGCGGUUGGCUCGUUAGAAUCAGCCGCCAAGCGAAAGCGUUAAGUAUUCCACCUGGGGAGUACGCCGGCAACGGUGAAACUCAAAGGAAUUGACGGGGGCCCGCACAAGCGGAGGAACAUGUGGUUUAAUUCGAUGAUACGCGAGGAACCUUACCCGGGCUUGAACUGCCAGUGACUCAUGCAGAGACGCAUGUUUCUUCGGACACUGGCGGAGGUGCUGCAUGGUUGUCGUCAGCUCGUGCCGUGAGGUGUCGGCUUAAGUGCCAUAACGAGCGCAACCCUUCUCCCUGUUUGCCAUCGGGUCAUGCCGGGCACUCCAAGGGACACUGCCAUCGUAAGAUGUGAGGAAGGUGGA